UACGAAGGGGGCUAGCGUUGUUCGGAUUUACUGGGCGUAAAGCGCACGUAGGCGGAUUGGUCAGUUAGGGGUGAAAUCCCAGGGCUUAACCCUGGAACUGCCUUUAAUACUGCCAGUCUUGAGUAUGGUAGAGGUGAGUGGAAUUCCGAGUGUAGAGGUGAAAUUCGUAGAUAUUCGGAGGAACACCAGUGGCGAAGGCGGCUCACUGGACCAUUACUGACGCUGAGGUGCGAAAGCGUGGGGAGCAAAC
rnacentral:rRNA from 1 species